rnacentral:rRNA from 1 species
AACGAACGCUGGCGGCAUGCCUAACACAUGCAAGUCGAACGAGACCUUCGGGUCUAGUGGCGCACGGGUGCGUAACGCGUGGGAAUCUGCCCUCUGGUUCGGAACAACAGUUGGAAACGACUGCUAAUACCGGAUAAUGACCUCGGUCCAAAGAUUUAUCGCCCAGGGAUGAGCCCGCGUAGGAUUAGCUUGUUGGUGAGGUAAAAGCUCACCAAGGCGACGAUCCUUAGCUGGUCUGAGAGGAUGAUCAGCCACACUGGGACUGAGACACGGCCCAGACUCCUACGGGAGGCAGCAGUGGGGAAUAUUGGACAAUGGGCGAAAGCCUGAUCCAGCAAUGCCGCGUGAGUGAUGAAGGCCUUAGGGUUGUAAAGCUCUUUUACCCGGGAUGAUAAUGACAGUACCGGGAGAAUAAGCCCCGGCUAACUCCGUGCCAGCCGCCGCCGUAACAC